UACGAAGGGAGCUAGCGUUGUUCGGAAUCACUGGGCGUAAAGCGCACGUAGGCGGAUGUGUCAGUCAGGGGUGAAAUCCUGGAGCUCAACUCCAGAACUGCCUUUGAUACUGGCGAUCUUGAGUCCGGGAGAGGUGAGUGGAACUGCGAGUGUAGAGGUGAAAUUCGUAGAUAUUCGCAAGAACACCAGUGGCGAAGGCGGACUCACUGGCCCGGGUACUGACGCUGAGGUGCGAAAGCGUGGGGAGCAAACAGGG
rnacentral:rRNA from 1 species